rnacentral:rRNA from 1 species
GACGAACGCUGGCGGCGUGCCUAAUACAUGCAAGUUGAGCGCUGAAGGUUGGUACUUGUACCGACUGGAUGAGCAGCGAACGGGUGAGUAACGCGUGGGGAAUCUGCCUUUGAGCGGGGGACAACAUUUGGAAACGAAUGCUAAUACCGCAUAAAAACUUUAAACACAAGUUUUAAGUUUGAAAGAUGCAAUUGCAUCACUCAAAGAUGAUCCCGCGUUGUAUUAGCUAGUUGGUGAGGUAAAGGCUCACCAAGGCGAUGAUACAUAGCCGACCUGAGAGGGUGAUCGGCCACAUUGGGACUGAGACACGGCCCAAACUCCUACGGGAGGCAGCAGUAGGGAAUCUUCGGCAAUGGGCGAAAGUCUGACCGAGCAACGCCGCGUGAGUGAAGAAGGUUUCGGAUACGUAAACUCUGUUGGUAGAGAAGAACGUUGGUGAGAGUGGAAAGCUCAUCAAGUGACGGUAACUACCAGAAAGGACGGCUAACUACGUGCCAG